rnacentral:tRNA from 1 species
CGGAAUAUCAACGGCUUAGGCGCGUACCCGCCCCUGUCCGGUCUCCGGGAGGCGGGGGCCGCCGGUUCAAGUCCGGCCACUCCGACCA